rnacentral:rRNA from 1 species
CCCUUAGAUGUUCUGGGCCGCACGCGCGCUACACUGACGAAUGCAACGAGCUUAUAACCUUGGCCGAAAGGUCUGGGUAAUCUCCAAAUUUCGUCGUGAUGGGGAUAGAUUAUUGCAAUUAUUAAUCUUCAACGAGGAAUGCCUAGUAAGCGCAAGUCAUCAGCUUGCGUUGAUUACGUCCCUGCCCUUUGUACACACCGCCCGUCGCUGCUACCGAUUGAAUGGUCCGGUGAAGCGUUCGGACCGUGGCCUUUGGACGGUUCGCCGUCUGUUGGCUGCGGGAAGUUCGUUAAACCUUAUCAUUUAGAGGAAGGAGAAGUCGUAACA